rnacentral:lncRNA from 1 species
GGCGAAUAAUAGUUGUUAUUGUGAUAAUAUGUGUAUUUCAUACUUAUGUGCACUCGCAUAUAUAUACAACAGAAGUAACACUUGGACAUUAUAACUAUUUAACAGAUCUUCCCAUAUCAGUGAGCAUAAACUUGGCACCAAUUCGUCAACAAUUCAAACAAACUGAUAAAACAAAAAAAAAAAAAACAAGAAUCAAAACCCAUUAAAAUCCAAAGAUAAUAGAAAUACUGUGGAGUUGACUUGUUCAACUGAUCCAAUAACAAGAUAAUGGUAAAGAGGCAACAAAAAGAAAUGGAACUCCCAGAAAAAGAAAAGAAAGACAUACCUUAGAGGCAACCCAUGAAUGGGCGACUAAAGGACUUGUGUGUUUUCUGGGUUUUAUAUAGAAAAAUAAAUAAAUAAAAAUCAGAAUUUCUGGUGGAUCUGUAAACGCAAGUUUGAUGAAAGAGUAGAAGGGUGGAGGCUUUAAGAGAAGAAGAAGGGUAUAAUGGGUAAUGGGUAUUUACAGAGAAAUGUGUAUGAAUAUAUUAUUAUAAAUUAUAAAAUUUUUUGACAGAGGUGGAAUGUCAGGGGAAAAGAGAAGGCG